UACGGGGGGGGCAAGCGUUGUUCGGAAUUACUGGGCGUAAAGGGUUCGUAGGUGGCCAACUAAGUCAGACGUGAAAUCCCUCAGCUUAACUGGGGAACUGCGUCUGAUACUGGUUGGCUUGAGUGCAGGAGAGGAACGCGGAAUUCCAGGUGUAGCGGUGAAAUGCGUAGAUAUCGAGAGGAACACCUGCGGCGAAGGCGGGUUGCUGGGCUGACACUGACGCUGAUGUGCGAAAGCUAGGGGAGCGAACGGG
rnacentral:rRNA from 1 species